rnacentral:rRNA from 1 species
UGCGAACUCCUACGGGAGGCAGCAGUGGGGAAUUUUGGACAAUGGGGGCAACCCUGAUCUAGCACUGCCGCGUGAGUGAAGAAGGCCUUCGGGUUGUAAAGCUCUUUUGUCAGGGAAGAAACGGUAGUAGCUAAUAUCUAUUACUAAUGACGGUACCUGAAGAAUAAGCACCGGCUCACUACGUGCCAGCCGCCGAGGUAAUACGUAGGGUGCAAGCGUUAAUCGGAAUUACUGGGCGUAAAGCGUGCGCAGGCGGUUGUGUAAGUCAGAUGUGAAAUCCCCGGGCUCAACCUGGGAAUUGCAUUUGAGACUGCUCGGCUAGAGUGUGUGAGAGGGGGGUAGAAUUCCACGUGUAGCAGUGCAAUGCGUAGAUAUGUGGAGGAAUUCCGAUGGCGAAGGCAGACCCCUGGGAUAACACUGACGCUCAUGCACGAAAGCGUGGGGAGCAAACAGGAUUAGAAACCCUGGUAGUCCAGAUG